GAGCCGUCUUUUCUGCACAGAGUGUGCACUAUCAUCGUAACAGCAGAGACGGAGAGCAAGAUGUGAGGAGGUUAAAAGUCACGGUCAGAAGUUCAGGUUGCUCUGACCCUCAAAUCAAUUUCAAGCACUGUUUGUGACAUUUUUCUGUGUUCCCUCGCUUGAUGUUAGUCUUUGCAAUGAACCACCGAAUCAGACUUCAGGUCUCAUGGGACUUUGGGGUUUCAGUAGGGUCAGGUCAAUUUCUACCUACCAGUGUACUGUCACCUAUGAGGCAAACCAUUAUCUAGGCGUUUGAGAACCUCAAAGUUUUGAAGCUCCGAGGGGAAAGAGAGAGGAUGAAGUUGCUGGGGCCCCUGUGUCUUUGGGACCUGACAUAGCUCAACCUGUGGCUUCAGGGGGACCAUGUGCAGCCAGGUCAUAGUGGUACUGGAAAGGGAUCCUGAUCCAGACCCCAAGAGAAGGUUCUUGGAUCUCGUGCAAGAAAAAAUUCAGGCAAGGUCUUUGUGACCUGUAUCUUGUGCCGACCUUCUGUCUCUUCCUGUGACUUAGGAUGCCUAACCUCCUCGGAAUGCACCUCAGUAGGUCUCAGCCUCAUUUUGCCUAGCCCCUGCUCAAGAUAGAGUCACUCUGGUUGGAACGCCUUUGGCAAUAGGAUUGGCAACUCAGAGAAAGCUGGUCCCUGGCAUGGGCAUCUCUCCCAAGGCAUUCUUCCAAAGCUGAUGGCACUAAGGCUGAACCCAGAAGCUGCAGCAGUGGACAGAUGAUGAUCUGAAGAAAUGAGAUCCCUGAUGGGCUUGGAAGUCAUGGUUCCUGUAACCAUGAUGUCACACCCUCGUCCUGACACCGAGAUGGGCUGGACACAUCUGUCACCCAGGGCAAACAAAAUGCUUGGUCUGCAUCUUUCAGAAGAAAACUAAAAAUCAAGUAAUUUCUAAGAAUUUUGCUUGCGUGUGGCUUAAGUCUUCUUCUCCUGUUGAGGAAGGUGUUGAGUUUGACCAUGACAGCCCCACCCAGUCCUUGGCUCAUCUCACCCACCAGAGAGGAUCUGGAGAUUCAGAGCUAUGCCAUGGAAGACCUUGUCAGACCACCAGGCCAUACUGUGCUGCAGGUGGGGUUCAGGUGCCCAGUGACAACCACCGGGGCCGCUUAUCCCUAAACGUCUGUUGAACUUAAAGUUCUACUCAAGACUUUCUACAUUAAAUACCCUUUCAUACAGCAAAAUCAGCCAUGUUCUGAGAUGUGAAACUGCAGCACAAAGUUACUGUGGUCUCCACCUAUAGAAAUGGAAUGUUACUUCAUAAAGCCCCAGGCCAAAAAAGAAACCCCAAAACUCUGAAACGACACCCUUAAAUUUAACCUGAACAUCUGGCCAGCCUCCUCCAUCAUUGAAACUUCUCCUGAGUGUUGGCAUGGAUCCUAUGUUUCUCCAGCCAGGGAGCUUUUCUCCCCAUUCUUGAUGGACCCACUGAGUCCCAAUUUUCUACAUUUCACUUGGGUCAUUCCACCACUUUGGGAUGCUUUUCCUACUCUGUCGUACUUUAAAAAUGUUUCUUCUUUCCUAUGCUCAGCUUCACGCAUUUGUCUUCUUUCUCAAUUCAACUUGCUUAGUUCUCGCUACAUCAAUUCCUAGAGCCAUCCAUCUGCACUUCUGAAUCAUUUAAGUUUUGUUUGGCUACAAGUAAUGGAAACCCACUCUGAGUAACUCAAGCAAGAAUUGGAAUUUAUUGGAAGGACAGUGGGAUAUAUCAUAAGAUCCAAAAAGAAUUGAACAAACAAAAUUUCAGAGGGCAGAAAAAGGGCAGCUCCAGUGACUUCAGCAACAAGACAACAUAAGUCUUUCUAGACCAUAGCUACUAAUAUUAUUCAGCUGCAAGAGCCCCUCCCCGUGAGAAACUUGAUUGAAAAUUCUGAUUUCCCACAGAGAAGAAUCUGAUUGACUCAAUUUAGCUUUGGUUGCCCAACUGCUCAAUCUUGCAUGAAUUAUUUCCAGCCAAGGGGACAAGGUGUAUUAUAGGGACACACCUGCUUUCUCCAAAGAAAAGAUCUGGGCAUUUCCUGAUCAUUUCCCUGAGAAGGAGGAAUCAUUGUGAGCCAAGAAGAUACCUCAAGUAUAAUGAGCUCAGUUACACUUUUUUGAUAUCUGAGUAUUUGGUAUGUAGUGUGCAUUUUAAAAAACAUGUCUCUCUCCAGGACAAUGUUAACCUCUUCCACGGUGGAGUGGGGCUAUGUGAUUUUGUGCUUAAUUUACCUAGCUGGUGGGCCUCCAGUAGAGGCUGAACCAGUCGAGCCAGCUGAUACCACAUCAAUUCUCCAAAGGAACAAAAGCUGCCCUUCCUUCCUUAUUGCAAAGUUUGACAAAAAGCAAAACGUCAAGAAUAAAAGCGCCUUGCAUUGUCUAACAUCUACCGCAGUGUUUGAGCUGCAGCUGCUCCUCCUCCCCUGAUUGUUUUCAAAUAUUUCUUCAAAAAAGGCAUUAAAGAAAAACACAAGAUAUUGCACAGGGAACCAAAACAAAUCACAGUCUUCAAGGACAAAGCAUUGCAAAAUGGCUUACAUCCCCAAAUGGGAACAGAUAUGGUUGGAAAUUAAAACAAUCUUUUUUAUUUUCAGUGGAAAUGCUAGCAGAUGCCACAAGAAACAUAUGGAACUCGCCACAGACAAACAGGGAACGCUUUCUGUGUGUGGAAGUAGAGCAAAGGGAGUGACCACCUCUGACUGUCAGGGGGAACCAUCAGCUCGAACUGUUUGCUAUGGCAGGAGGGAGUUUGCAGAGUCCGGGGUCCUGCCCUCAUGAAAAAGCUUUAACGGUCUUGACUGAGUAAUUUAAGUCAUUCUUGUCAGGGAGUUUCAGAACACUAUGCACAAUUAUAUUUAUUUCACAAUGCAUUGAUUCCAGAUACCUUUUUAAAUGUGCUUACCACUGUGUGCGUUGUUACCUGUUCCCUCUUUGAAUCUCUGAAUGAAACAAAAUAAAUAGGAAAAAAUGGAGACAUAGAAGCAUGGUCCACAAGGCAUCUCCCACUCUAGAGGUCUCCCAGCCCCGUGCUAGCCUGUUAAUUUAUUAUCGCUUGUCUGUCAAACAAGGAAGAUAUAAUUUGCCACACAACAUAUUUUCCUAAAGCAAUGUUUUUGUACAAUUUCCUGAUUUCCAAAAAUAUGACCAAUGAUAUUCUGGUUGA